rnacentral:rRNA from 1 species
GAUGAACGCUAGCUACAGGCUUAACACAUGCAAGUCGAGGGGCAGCAUUUCAGUUUGCUUGCAAACUGGAGAUGGCGACCGGCGCACGGGUGAGUAACACGUAUCCAACCUGCCGAUAACUCGGGGAUAGCCUUUCGAAAGAAAGAUUAAUACCCGAUGGUAUAAUCAGACCGCAUGGUUUGAUUAUUAAAGAAUUUCGGUUAUCGAUGGGGAUGCGUUCCAUUAGGCAGUUGGUGAGGUAACGGCUCACCAAACCUUCGAUGGAUAGGGGUUCUGAGAGGAAGGUCCCCCACAUUGGAACUGAGACACGGUCCAAACUCCUACGGGAGGCAGCAGUGAGGAAUAUUGGUCAAUGGGCGCAGGCCUGAACCAGCCAAGUAGCGUGAAGGAUGACUGCCCUAUGGGUUGUAAACUUCUUUUAUAUGGGAAUAAAGUUUUCCACGUGUGGAAUUUUGUAUGUACCAUAUGAAUAAGGAUCGGCUAACUCCGUGCCAGCAGCCGCGGUAAUACGGAGGAUCCGAGCGUUAUCCGGAUUUAUUGGGUUUAAAGGGAGCGUAGGUGGACAGUUAAGUCAGUUGUGAAAGUUUGCGGCUCAACCGUAAAAUUGCAGUUGAUACUGGCUGUCUUGAGUACAGUAGAGGUGGGCGGAAUUCGUGGUGUAGCGGUGAAAUGCUUAGAUAUCACGAAGAACUCCGAUUGCGAAGGCAGCUCACUGGACUGCAACUGACACUGAUGCUCGAAAGUGUGGGUAUCAAACAGGAUUAGAUACCCUGGUAGUCCACACAGUAAACGAUGAAUACUCGCUGUUUGCGAUAUACAGUAAGCGGCCAAGCGAAAGCAUUAAGUAUUCCACCUGGGGAGUACGCCGGCAACGGUGAAACUCAAAGGAAUUGACGGGGGCCCGCACAAGCGGAGGAACAUGUGGUUUAAUUCGAUGAUACGCGAGGAACCUUACCCGGGCUUAAAUUGCAUUUGAAUAAUCUGGAAACAGGUUAGCCGCAAGGCAGAUGUGAAGGUGCUGCAUGGUUGUCGUCAGCUCGUGCCGUGAGGUGUCGGCUUAAGUGCCAUAACGAGCGCAACCCUUAUCUUUAGUUACUAACAGGUCAUGCUGAGGACUCUAGAGAGACUGCCGUCGUAAGAUGUGAGGAAGGUGGGGAUGACGUCAAAUCAGCACGGCCCUUACGUCCGGGGCUACACACGUGUUACAAUGGGGGGUACAGAAGGCAGCUACCUGGUGACAGGAUGCUAAUCCCAAAAGCCUCUCUCAGUUCGGAUCGAAGUCUGCAACCCGACUUCGUGAAGCUGGAUUCGCUAGUAAUCGCGCAUCAGCCAUGGCGCGGUGAAUACGUUCCCGGGCCU